UACGUAGGGGGCAAGCGUUGUCCGGAAUCAUUGGGCGUAAAGAGCGUGUAGGCGGUUUAGUAAGUCUGCUGUGAAAGUCCAGGGCUCAACCCUGGGAUGCCGGUGGAUACUGCUGGGCUAGAGUACGGAAGAGGCGAGUGGAAUUCCCGGUGUAGCGGUGAAAUGCGCAGAUAUCGGGAGGAACACCUAUUGCGAAGGCAGCUCGCUGGGACGUCACUGACGCUGAGACGCGAAAGCGUGGGGAGCAAACAGG
rnacentral:rRNA from 1 species